AGCAUCUAUAUAUAGCAUUCACAUAUUAAUCAUGAGAAAACAAAUGAUAAUAUGAUUUUUCACAAAAGUAGGACAUAUCUGGCCUUAUAUAAUAUAGAAUGAUAUGCUUUGUUUCCUCAGGGAAUGAAACUGCAUGGCUUGCUACAGAGCUGAAAUGGAGGCCACUACUUUUGGUUCUAAUUGGUGUUAAGUAUGUCAUGGACAUGUUCAAUAAAUAGAGUGUGGAACCACGGUGUGUAAACAGAUAUUGAAAUGGAUUGCAUGUUAGCACAUGAUUUGCAAGAACUGAAUCUAUGAAGAGCAAGGAUUAGAGUCAGAUGCAUGUGCCACUGGCUGUUCAGCACACACAAGUUAUCCUUGAGGAUACAUAUUCACCCAACUG